rnacentral:rRNA from 1 species
AGAGUUUGAUCAUGGCUCAGGACGAACGCUGGCGGCGUGCUUAACACAUGCAAGUCGAACGGAAAGGCCCUGCUUUUGUGGGGUGCUCGAGUGGCGAACGGGUGAGUAACACGUGAGUAACCUGCCCUUGACUUUGGGAUAACUUCAGGAAACUGGGGCUAAUACCGGAUAGGAGCUCCUGCUGCAUGGUGGGGGUUGGAAAGUUUCGGCGGUUGGGGAUGGACUCGCGGCUUAUCAGCUUGUUGGUGGGGUAGUGGCUUACCAAGGCUUUGACGGGUAGCCGGCCUGAGAGGGUGACCGGCCACAUUGGGACUGAGAUACGGCCCAGACUCCUACGGGAGGCAGCAGUGGGGAAUAUUGCACAAUGGGCGGAAGCCUGAUGCAGCAACGCCGCGUGCGGGAUGACGGCCUUCGGGUUGUAAACCGCUUUCGCCUGUGACGAAGCGUGAGUGACGGUAAUGGGUAAAGAAGCACCGGCUAACUACGUGCCAGCAGCCGCGGUGAUACGUAGGGUGCGAGCGUUGUCCGGAUUUAUUGGGCGUAAAGGGCUCGUAGGUGGUUGAUCGCGUCGGAAGUGUAAUCUUGGGGCUUAACCCUGAGCGUGCUUUCGAUACGGGUUGACUUGAGGAAGGUAGGGGAGAAUGGAAUUCCUGGUGGAGCGGUGGAAUGCGCAGAUAUCAGGAGGAACACCAGUGGCGAAGGCGGUUCUCUGGGCCUUUCCUGACGCUGAGGAGCGAAAGCGUGGGGAGCGAACAGGCUUAGAUACCCUGGUAGUCCACGCUGUAAACGGU